rnacentral:lncRNA from 1 species
UUUUUCUUUUUACACAGUAUCACCUUCAUCUCAUACUCAUCACAGACCAUGUAUUCACCCCAGCGGUGGGAAGCGAAGGCCGUAUAAUUGGGACACGUCUUACAACUGAAAAAGCCUCGUUCAGACGAGCUGCACGAGUCAUAAACUGGGACACCUUCUGCAAAUACAACUCAAGCAAAGAACAAAAUGUUGGAUGUUUAUCAGCAGUCGACUAUAAUGGUCUUUUGAUAUAUAUAAAGGACAACUUAUACUAGUUCAAACUAAAAUUAGUUUUAGCUACAUUCAAACUUUAUACCAUAAAUAUUUUAACAAACCGGUCAUUUUAACGUACCAAUUCUACUUGUUAUACGCAUGAAGUUUCGAAUUUAACCUACCAAUCCAACCACUUCCAUUUCCACAAAAUAAAAGGAGAGAAGCAGUCGUAAAAAGUUGGUAUUUAUGAAGAAUAUAAAUGGCCCAAACAACCAAGAUAGAAAACCUUCACCUUUUCUCUAACUCCUUGGAGUGCAGAUAAAAGUUGUUGGAAUGGUUGAUUUUUUAUACUUUACAUCUAUGUUCGUGUGCGUCCAGGACAAUGUUUUUGUGAGUGCAAUGUGUUGACAUUCAUGACUACAACAGAGCUUGUAAGGAUAUAUCUCAACUUUAUUUGGCUUUGUUUGGUCUGUUAUUUUUCGGGGGGUUGUAGUUGUGGAUUCAUGAUUCCAUUAAUCAUUUCAAAUGUUAGAAUUUACUUCCAGGCUUUUUCUGCUAUUGCGACUUGGAAAUUCAGAAGUAUAAUAUUUGAGACUUAAAUUUUUUAUCAAGUGUUUCGUUUGGGAGUCUGCUCUGUUCACAUGGUAAUUAUGGCACAAUAUUUUUCUUGUGGGGGAGAUCACGCAUUCUAUUAAUUAAUGUCAUAUUGGCUGUUGAUGCAAUGUAAGUAAAAAAAAAAAAAAACUCUUCAAAAGAAUAAGACUCCUGCAGAAACUAAUUGCAACUUAUCAACAAACAAAAAUUUUAGCUAUACAAGAAAAAACCAACUUUAAGUUAAAUAGUCAUGAAAAUCCGUUUUUUCCCAAUGCAGUAAUGCAAUAUAUGUUGCUCAUGCUAUAUCCUCAAACAUAUCCAUCACUUAAUCCUUCGUACAUAAAAGUAUACAAACACAAUAAUACUUCACAUCAUUAGAAGCAAAAGGUGUAUCGUCCUAGCUAAAUUGGACUAGAUGGGAAAGUAGCAAAUUGAAUGAGAAGAGAAUGGAGAAUCAACAACAUAUUUCCUUUCUUAUAAUUUAAAUUUCAUGUGAAAGAAAAAUGAUUCCUUCCAAAAUAAAACACAACAUAACAGGAGCACGUUACUAGUAAGAUAGUGUCACUAUUCCAUUAGCAUAAGUGACAUCCAGGAAGUUAUUUUCUGUUUUCCAAUAUAAGACAUGGCAGAAAAAGAUAUUGGUCGAACUAAAAUAUUUUACCAAGAAUAAAUAAAUAAAUAAAGGAAAGCAACUCCGAUAGUUUUACUGGGAGAAGUUGUUUUUAGAGGUCAACCUUGCCAAGAGGACCAACUAACAUUUGCCAUCCUCGGUCCCUGUCUCUUCUCAAACUCUGUCCCAAAAUUUUAUUUGGGAAGUAUGGUUUUACAGGCAAAUCUUGCAGUGGACCAAUCAUCAACUGUAUCGACUGAACCAAAAUUUUCCUGAUACUUGACUAUCCAAUGUACCUUAUAUAUUAAUUACAUGUACUUUCACCAUGAUAAUGUGUGGGCUAUGAUUCAGCUAUCAGCUAAAUAGUCUUAAAUCAAAUUUAAUGGUGAGAAAGUUUUAUGUUUGAAUCUUGAUUUGGUUUUUCCAUUAUAUAUGUGUUUUCCCUUCAGCUUAUCCUUGUACCAUGUAUUGGUUAAAAGUGUUAGUGAAAGACGGAACAGAACAGUGGAGGAAAGGGAAACAAAAGCAGAAUCAGUCCUCCCCAAAGAACAUUUCUUUUAGGAAGUUACUUAUAGCGAACCAAGUGGAGCCACGGGUAAAAAGAAGGAAAAAAUUCAGAGAUUAGACAAGGAACUAAUGAUCAAUCAAACACGAGGUUUACUCAAGAAAGCUCCUAAUAAUCAAAUAUUUCCAGAGCAAGAAAUUCGUAAAGAUGCAGAGUAAAAACUCAGACAAAUCAACCAAACAAAGGAUCUCAACUAGUCAUUGAGAAGCUUGAAGAGAUGACGCAACAAAAAUGGAAAGGAUCAUAAAUAGUCUUGUCUUGUAUAAAAGGGAAUGAAAUUCAAUUUCAACGUGAACCCUAGAGCAAAAAUGGACCUAAAUUAUGAAGCAGCAGGGACAACUUACGGUGAUCUGAUUACAUAAUAAAUCUGAGACAAGUGAUAAUUCAAUUUCCAAAUAUUGACAACAAUAAUAGAAAAACAUAAGCAGCAACUAACCUUAUCAUCUAUGGUAACCUUCAGCUGCAAGCUACUGCUCUUCCGCUUCAUCUUAUACAGUCUACGUCCCAAUAUAACAAAACCCAUCACGGCCGCCGCUACAGAGAAGGACCAAACAGGGCUAACCCUUAAAACACAGUAUCUCAAGAGCUCGAAAGGAACUUUCCACCAUACUACCUUCUUCUUCUCCCCCUCAUUAACUGACUUCACACUUAACUUCAUUUCAUCAAUGGUAGAACCUUCAUUACCAGCAGU